UACGUAGGGUGCAAGCGUUGUCCGGAAUCAUUGGGCGUAAAGCGCACGUAGGCGGCCUGAUAAGUCGGGUGUGAAAGCCCUGGGCUCAACCCAGGAAGUGCACUCGAAACUGUCAGGCUUGAAUAUGGAAGAGGGUCGCGGAAUUCCCGGUGUAGAGGUGAAAUUCGUAGAUAUCGGGAGGAACACCAGUGGCGAAGGCGGCGACCUGGGCCAAUAUUGACGCUGAGGUGCGAAAGCGUGGGGAGCAAACAGG
rnacentral:rRNA from 1 species